UACGGAGGGGGCUAGCGUUGUUCGGAAUUACUGGGCGUAAAGCGCACGUAGGCGGCUUUGUAAGUUAGAGGUGAAAGCCCGGAGCUUAACUCCGGAACUGCCUUUAAGACUGCAUCGCUCGAAUCAUGGAGAGGUCAGUGGAAUUCCGAGUGUAGAGGUGAAAUUCGUAGAUAUUCGGAAGAACACCAGUGGCGAAGGCGACUUACUGGACACGUAUUGACGCUGAGGUGCGAAAGCGUGGGGAGCAAACAGG
rnacentral:rRNA from 1 species